GUCCACGCCGUAAACUAUGGAUACUCGGUGUUUCAUUUUAUGGAAGUGCCUAAGGUAACCCGUUAAGUAUCCCGCCUGGGGACUACGAGCGCAAGCUUAAAACUCAAAGAAAUAGACGGGGGCUCGCACAAGCGGUGGAGCAUGUGGUUUAAUUCGACAAUAAGCGGAGAACCUUACCUGGGUUUGACAUCCCUAGAAUCCUGAUGAAAGUCGGGAGUGCCGCAAGGAGCUAGGAGACAGGUGCUGCAUGGUUGUCGU
rnacentral:rRNA from 1 species